ensembl:lncRNA
CUACAUUUCGUGGGGGGGGGCGUGGGGUGGUGGUGGUGGUGAUGGUGGUCGUGGGCAGCACGGUGGUGGGGGGAAGAUCACCUGUGGGCACAGAGGAGCCCUGAGGACACAGCCCAUGUGCAGCCUUCAUGUCCACACGCUGGGGCAGAGGAACCACAGCGAUGCAGCCCAGCAUGAUGGAUCCGCACACCCACUUCUGUUGCAUGCAGCGGGAUAAACCAUGGAGCAGUUACCAUAGGAGCUUGCAUUGAGCUGCAGGCAGAGGGAGGUGUUGCAGCACUCCAUGGUGCACUGCUGUAGGGUCACGCUGCCAUUGGUCCUGCACAGCUCUGCACUGCACACGCUGCUGCAUCUGGCGGUGUAGUUCAUGCUGGAGAAACGAUAAAGCUGCAACAGCAGAGCCAAAGGAAAAAAAAGAAACCCACUAGAAGUGUGAAGAGAGGCCAUUACAGAGGAGCAAAAAUAAUGGACAGAGUGGGAGAGUGGCGAAGGAAAAUCAGGUGUUGUGCUCACAGCCUCCAGCAGCCGCUCUAAGCUCCAUACCUCGCAGAAGGUCUCAUUGUAGCAGGUGGUCGUCAUGUUGCUGUGGGCCUCAUCCUGGUAACACCUCUCCCCGGAGCACUGGAAGCUCUGACAGCUGAGCUGGGGGGAGGACACGCCAGGGGGUCACAGCGCAGCAGAGCUUCUGCAUGGCCAGCAUCCCCCUUCCCUCUCCUUACCGGGGUUUGUUCUGUAUGGUUCAUGGAGGCGUUGGCAGCCACUGAAGCCUGGCUGAUGGACACCCAAGUGGUGGUGGUGGUCACUGAGGUGUGGUUGGAGGCAGCCAUUGAGGCACUGGCGGUAGCCACUGAGGCAUGGGUGGUGACUAUGGACAUGUUGACCACUUUGCGCCCUAAAAAAACCACAAAGUUCCCCCUUGGUGAAGGAAAUAGCAUCCAUGUGGUCCCCCAUCCCAAACAAGAACAAAGAUCUGCUUGCAGCCAGCAGGGAGGAGCCUGCCCAGCGGGUCAGAGAUAAUUGCUGACUAUGGAAACGUUACAGCAGCUUCUCCCUUCCCCUUCGAGGCACAUUGCAUAGGAGAUACAGCCAUUUCUGGGGUCAAAACCUCAAGAAGAUUUCCUGAGCACAGCUCUGUCCAAUAGCUUACAGCCAAGAGGGGACAGGGAUGUUGUCCCAUCACACCAAGUUGCCUUUGCCCCGUUCCCAAGAGGAUCCUCUGCUGUGCACUCACCUGCUAUGGCAAGAGGGCCCUGGGUGCAGAAUUGCAGAGCCAAGACACAGAGCAGCAGGCCUGAAACAGAGCAGAGACAACUGGGACCAUCAGAGGCCAAGUUCAGCCCUGGCAGUCUCCCUGGGAGAGCAGGGAUCCGUGCAGGCUGUGGGGUAGCAGCUCUGGGAUGGACACUGCUCAGAGCCCCCAUUACCUGGAGUAGGGAAGAGCUGCCGGUGAGCUGCCAUCACCCCCACCAGCAACCUCAGCUGGGACCUGGCAGAGAGAUGCAAUCAGAACUGGGCAAUCAGAACCAGCUCAUCACCCAGAAGUUAUCCUUGUCUGGCAUCAGAGACCAAGAGGCAGGCUCUUCCAGUCUCGGUUGCAGCAGGAGAAGGCUGAACAAGCACUGAGGGAUCCAGGGAGCACUUCUCCCUGUGGGCUCAGACCCAGGGCUCAGCCCAGCCCUGCCAAACAGGAGCCCCCUGGGAGGCCAUGUGCUGCUGUUGGUGUGGUAACUCUCCACCUCUGUGUAACACAGAGCCGUGAACAGCACCAGCUUGGCACCACACACAGCAAACUGCUGAUGCUGUUGUAAAUGAAGAAGCUGCCCCAGCUCAGGAUGGUGCCACAAACAUCCCCGUUGCAUGGAAUUCUGAAUCCAGUUGUCUGCAUUGCCUCCCAACACCGACCCCUUGCACUGCUCACACCACACGUGGGGAAGUUCCACCUCCUUUGGUGUUUCCUGAGAUACACUGCUCUCCAUUGAAUGAAAGCAGACAUCUUUCUUGCAAAAUCUUUGCCAGUUUAAAUAAGGAAGCAGCGGAGAUGACUCCAAACAUGCUCCAAGGCUGCUUUCCAAAUACCCCCCCUUCUGCCUUAGGAUUUAAGCUCAGAUAGCAUUCCCAGGGCACUCUUUCAGAAUGACAGAAAACAAUACAGGCUGGAGUUUCUCACCUCACAGAGCAGGGCAGCCCCCCAACCCAGGCCAGGUUAGGACAGCCCUUACUGAGGCUGGUACAGCUCCAGCACAGCCAGACCCACCUCCAGGACAGGCUAAGAACAAACCAGAAAAGGCUCACCCUGAAACAAGCUUCUCAACCCCAAGCAGGGAAAGGAAUCUGCUCACAGACUCACCCUCUGUGUCCGUGCCCUGAAAGCCCCUGCACACCAGAGGAACCCUGCAGCUGCUGCAAGAGAUGGAGAGCCUCUGAGCACCGAGCAGCUACAGCACCUGCAGUACCUGCAGCACAGCACAUGCCCUGGUGGCAGUGAGCAGCCCCACCCUGCCAACCACCAGCUGCGCAAACCGUCACCCAGGGAGAAGGGUUUGUUACCUGCAGCCCUGCUGGAUUUGGAGAUGCAAAUGUCCAUGCGCAGUGACAACUGAGAAAAGGAUUUUCAAGGCAAGAGAUGUCGCGCCAGCACGUCUAUGCCAAAAUGAAAGCCCACUGUAGGCAGUGUGAGGGCUGCCAUAAACCCCAAUGCCUCUGCCCAGUGCCUCUUUUCUCCUCACAGGACUUUAAUUCGUGUGGUAGUAUCACAGUUCAAGAGAACCAAAGGAAGGAUCUG